UGGCUCAGUUGGUAGAGCAUGGUGUUUGCAACGCCAGUGUUGUGGGUUCGAUCCCCAC
rnacentral:tRNA from 1 species